rnacentral:rRNA from 1 species
CCUACGGGUGGCAGCAGUGGGGAAUAUUGCACAAUGGGGGAAACCCUGAUGCAGCGACGCCGCGUGAGUGAAGAAGUAUUUCGGUACGUAAAGCUCUAUCAGCAGGGAAGAAAAUGACGGUACCUGACUAAGAAGCCCCGGCUAACUACGUGACAGCAGCCGCGGUAAUACGUAGGGGGCAAGCGUUAUCCGGAUUUACUGGGUGUAAAGGGAGCGUAGACGGCAGCGCAAGUCUGGAGUGAAAUCCCAUGGCUUAACCAUGGAACUGCUUUGGAAACUGUGCAGCUAGAGUGCAGGAGAGGUAAGCGGAAUUCCUAGUGUAGCGGUGAAAUGCGUAGAUAUUAGGAGGAACACCAGUGGCGAAGGCGGCUUACUGGACUGUAACGGACGUUGAGGCUCGAAAGCGUGGGGAGCAAACAGGAUUAGAUACCCCGGUAGUC